rnacentral:rRNA from 1 species
UACGUAGGGGGGCAAGCGUUGUCCGGAUUCAUUGGGCGUAAAGAGCGUGUAGGCGGCCUGAAAGGUCAGCUGUGAAAACUCGAGGCUCAACCUCGAGACGUCGGUUGAAACCAUCUGGCUAGAGUCCGGAAGAGGAGUGUGGAAUUCCCGGUGUAGCGGUGAAAUGCGCAGAUAUCGGGAAGAACACCCGUGGCGAAGGCGGCACUCUGGGACGGUACUGACGCGUGAGACGCGAAGGCGUGGGGAGCGAACGGG